rnacentral:rRNA from 1 species
AACGUAGGAGGCGAGCGUUAUCCGGAGUUACUGGGCGUAAAGCGCACGUAGGCGGAUGUGUCAGUCAGGGGUGAAAUCCCGGAGCUCAACUUCGGAACUGCCCUUGAUACAGCACGUCUUGAGUCCGGAAGAGGUGGGUGGAAUUCCUAGUGUAGAGGUGAAAUUCGUAGAUAUUAGGAAGAACACCGGUGGCGAAGGCGGCCCACUGGUCCGGUACUGACGCUGAGGUGCGAAAGCGUGGGGAGCAAACAGG